GUGCCAGCCGCCGCGGUAAUACCGGCAGCUCAAGUGGUGUCCCAUAUUAUUGGGCCUAAAGCGUCCGUAGCUGGCUGCGCAAGUCCGUCGGGAAAUCCACUCGCCCAACGAGUGGGCGUCCGACGGAAACUGCACAGCUUGGGACCGGAAGGCUCGAAGGGUACGUCCGGGGUAGGAGUGAAAUCCCGUAAUCCUGGACGGACCGCCGAUGGCGAAAGCACGUCGCGAAGACGGAUCCGACAGUGAGGGACGAAAGCCAGGGUCUCCAACCGGAUUAGAAACCCUUUAGUCC
rnacentral:rRNA from 1 species